UAAUAAGUGUUUUAUGGCACUUUUUAAAUCCAUAUCCACCUUGUGUGCAAUGUCAGUCGAUCUCCUUUUAUGGAGAUCGACCAAACAUCAACCUUUAUUUUUUAACUCUUUGUCUGAAAAAUAUUAUGAAUAAACAAUUCAAAAUA
rnacentral:misc_RNA from 1 species